CUCGCGCCCAUCCGGGCUGCGGUGUUGGGGAUCGGCCCGCCCUCCGGGGCGCGCCGUCCUCCAAAUACAGUGGCGGUCUCGCUGCAGCCUCCCUUGCGUAGUAGCACACCUCGCACUGGAGAGCGGCGCGGCCAUGCCGUUAAACCCCCAACUUUCAUGAGUUUGACCUCGGAUCAGGUAGGAAUACCCGCUGAACUUAA
rnacentral:misc_RNA from 1 species